UAAAUUUUAUAAAACGACAUUUGCGACAUACGGUAUAAAACAGGCCAUGGACUACGUAAGAUGGCAGUUCAAAAUUUCAGUAGGGAUACCACUUUAUGACAUGCGUCAGAAAUGUCAUUUUUUCACCAUCAAAACAAUCACACCGACCAUCGUCGACAAUUCGAAAAAGUUUCAGGCUAACACUUAAAACACUUAAAAUGGAAUCAGGAUUCUUCAAAGCGGAUACAAAUACGCUAACAAAAGUGGAUUUUUUCAUGGUACAGUAUUUUCUCGCUACGGAUGAGAAAUUCCGUGACUCAAAUAAGCAGGGGAAGAUCGAAAGAUCAUCAAAUCCCGAUUAUUUGAAAUCUGCGAUAGGACGAGUGCAGUUAAAAAUUGACGGAAGUCUGUGCACGGUUAAGGCAAAGAUAGUUCCAGAGCACAGAGUAACUUCAAGGCAAUAUUCCGUGGUGGACAUCAUCAAUACCGUCGAAGAACAAAUAGUCGAUGUCUUCUGUGAAAGCGAAGCUCAGGGAUGUAAGGCAGCCGCCGGGGGAUGCAAGCACGCUGUGGCGUUCGUGUUUCAUUUGUAUGAAAAAUACAGUCAAUCUUCUCCUACCGAUGGGACUUGCCUCUGAAAAGUACCAAACCUGUCAAAAGUGGAAGAAAACAUCGAUCGAUUUAAUCUUGCGAAUCAUCGGGAAUCUGGUGUGUCCAAUCGAAAUUCAAUUGUAAGUGGAAGGGCAGGUUCCUUCAAACAUUAGUGACCAAUUGCCCACCGAACACAAUUGUCAUUACGUUGAAAUAUCACCAACCGUUUCCAGAGGCAGAAGGAUAUGCUAUGCAUUGCCUCGUAGCUGAUUUUAAAGAAACAGCGGAAGCGAAGCAAAAUUCCAAACGUUUUAUUAAUUUUUGCAAACAAACUAUGUUGGAGGAUGUGUGUAAGAGAAUUAAGACUUUAACCACAGGACAAGACUGCUGGCAGUGGAAACUUCUCAAAUAUGGGCGGAUAACUGCCUCCAAGAUUUUUGAUCUGACGAGGUGUAAAACAGGUGAUGGCUCACUUGCACGAUCCGUACUUGUAUAAACUAAUUUUACUACCGAGGCCAUGAAGCGUGGAUUGCGACUGGAGAACAAAGCAGUGAAAGUUAUAAGAGCACGGUAUCAAAACGUUCGUAAGUGCGGACUUUUUUCAAAUCCAGAUUUUCCUGCAUUUGGAGCUUCUCCUAAUGCGAUCAACAGCUCGAGAGUAUUCGAGACCAAAUGUCCUUCGAAAAACGAAAAUGUUAAGUAUUAUGUCGAUGGAAACGAUCACUUACAAGACAAAGUCAAAACUCAAAUUCAUCUCCAGAUGGUUAUGACUAACCGCCAAAAAGGUGUAUUGGUAUUAGUAAAACCUGAAUUUGAAACAAGUCGAAACCCUUAUGAGCAUGUGGACUUCUAUGAGAUAGAUCUAGAUGUGGAUUACAUUGAACAGAUAAUGACAGAUAGUUACAAGUUCUGGAAAGUCAAUAUUUUUAGCAAAUUGUAUUCGUCUUUCUAAUCCUUCGAUUUUUUCAUAAUCAAUUGGUAUAUUUAAUAAAGAAAUAUUCUAAAUCAUC